GAUGAACGCUGGCGGCGUGCCUAAUACAUGCAAGUCGAGCGAACAGACGAGGAGCUUGCUCCUCUGACGUUAGCGGCGGACGGGUGAGUAACACGUGGAUAACCUACCUAUAAGACUGGGAUAACUUCGGGAAACCGGAGCUAAUACCGGAUAAUAUAUUGAACCGCAUGGUUCAAUAGUGAAAGACGGUUUUGCUGUCACUUAUAGAUGGAUCCGCGCCGCAUUAGCUAGUUGGUAAGGUAACGGCUUACCAAGGCAACGAUGCGUAGCCGACCUGAGAGGGUAAUCGGCAAAACGGGAACGGGAAAAGGGUCCAACCCCCUACGGGAGGAAGCAGUGGGGAAUCUUCCGCAAGGGGGGAAGGCCUAACGGGGAAACGCCGGGGGGGGGAUGAGGGUUUUGGGUUCGUAAAACUUUGUUAUUGGGAAAAAAAAAAGGUUAAAUAAACAUGCACCGUUUUGACGGUCCCUAAUCAAAAAACCCCGGCAAACUACGU
rnacentral:rRNA from 1 species